rnacentral:lncRNA from 1 species
CACUAGGCAAUGACACUUAAAGAAGUGCAGGGUUCUUGAAGUACAUGAAUCGAAAAAGUAUAAAACAAACCAGCAUUUGAUCUUUUGUCAACAUCGAUUAAUAGAAAACAGAAACAGUAUUUUACUGUGUUGAAGCACUGCGUUAAAAACGCAUUCACAUUCACAGAAACAAAUUUAUUCUGCUCAGGACAACAAGCAAACUGCAGGCAAAGGACCCAUGAGACUAGUCUCAACUACACACUGCGGCAGGUGAAAAAUGAUGCAUCUUGAAGAGUUCAAGUUUCAUGACUUCACUUGCGGAGGAGAGUCGCCCUGCAGAGCUGGAUCUGAUUUGAUGGCAUCUAAUGUCUUGAAGAACUCCUCAGGUAGUGCAACGGGCCGGUGCUGCGGAACAUGCUUGGGAAUAGGUGUGUCAUCUUCAAUCACCUCGCAUUCGUAGUCAUCAGGAACACCCCAGGGAUCCC